UCCAUCCAUCCAUCCGACCCACCGAACGCACCAGCACACACUCUCUCUCUCGCUCGAACCCACCCAAACCCUCGUCGCCUCCUCUCUCCCCCCCGAACCCCUCUCUCCCUCGCCGCCGCCGCCACCCACGCCGCCCGGUUCCGGCGAGCUCCGGCCGCGCGCAGCACGCCGGCGAGAUCCCCUUGGUCCGCGUCUGCCUUACCUCCGUGCAGAUCCGCGGCUCCCCCACUGGCUAGGGUUUUGCAUCCCCUUUUGUUCGCCGGGAUCCGCCACGGCAGGCCACGGCGAGGCCAGAGGUGACCGGAUCCAGCACUAGUCGCCAUGGGCGUGCCGGCGACGACGGCAGGAGGGGCGCACCUCCGUGGGGCGGGACGCCGCCAUGGAGAUGGAUUCCCUUUCCCCACCACGCAGCGGCCCCAUGGAGCCUCCCAGCGCCCCAAACACUAGCGGAGAGAGAGGAGCUGCUCCUAGUACAGCACGCCAUGGAAGGUUGCUCUAAUGGCGAAGCUUCUGCUGCAGGACGCCCUCCACCCCUCCCCUGCAAGUAUUGGUUCAGUUUUUGUGUGAAAUUCGAUUGUCAUUGUGCUUUUUGAUGCUUGCUUCAGAAAAAUAAAAUCAUGGAUAGAUAGAAGAUGGAAACAGUGAGCUUCCUUUCAAGUUAGUAAUACUAAAAAUCAUUUGGCUCAUCAAUUUUUCAUGUCUUGUGUAAAUUCCGCUCCAUUGCAAUCUGGCUAUGUAUGGAUGGUUUGGUACAGUUUGCCAUGGAUGAGUAUAUGUAGUUACGUACACAUGUGCUCUGCAGUUUUAGUUCUUCUUGUGUUGCUGCACUUAGUCUAGAGAUACAACAACAUUAGUUAGGUCCAUGGAUGGAUGGAUCAACACAUACAGCUAGCAGUGCUAGCAACAACAAAAAAAUAACCUUGUUAUUGAUUCUGUUGACGCUAGCAUGCUCUGUUAGUUUUGGAGCCCAACCAUGGACUAUACGUACUAAGCUAGCUCAAGCACACACACAGGCAGCUUGAUUUAUUUCUGUAGAUACUAGCAGCAGCACGCGUGUCUCCUAUACUAGCUUGCUUAAUUUCUGUACUAGAUCAACGACACUAGCACUUGUUUGUUAGAUUCGGAGCAGCAGGCAUCCUCCAUGGACGAUGACGACAACCAGGUCAUCCACCGCCACAACGACGCCCCGCACAUGGUCCAACUCGACUACAACAUCCUCCACCGCGUGACGGCAACGUGGUCGUGUGCGGCAUUGACUACAACCUCCUCUCCUGUGAAUCCGUCUCCUACCUCUAGCUCCCUCUCUUGUGCUGCUAUAUUAGUACCUUGCUCUGUUUCAUGCGCAUGGGUGAUUUUGUUUGUGCUUGCCGUGCUUGUGUCAUGGAAAAGAUCAUUUCUAUUUAUUUGUGCUUUGUUUUCUUUAUUAUCACGAGUUGCAAAAUUAGUAGUGGGAAGUAAACUUUUGUUAACUUGUUGGUUGAACCAAUGGAACUACUGUUAUAUUUGAUUUGUCGCUCAACUAGUGCUGCAAUGAUGGGUUCGAAUGAUUGCAUGACCCUACUGUUGGUCUAUCAUUGCAAUUAUCUUGGUCUUAUAGACGUUAUUGUUCCUGUCACAUAGCACAUGCUAGUUUCUUUAUUUUGGCUGGCUGAUGGUUCUGUUUGUUCAUAUGCAUAAGUGCUACUGUUUCUUUGUUAUCUUAUAAAGGAUAUAGUCCUUCAUUUGUAUAUAGCUGAACCCUCUUAUUGAUCAACAUAUACUGAUUCAUCUCUUUACUGCAAUUACUCUGUGUAGUUCAUGAUUUGCUCCUGUAGUGGUAUAAAAUUAUAGUUUCUCUUUCAAGCUGGUAUCUGUGUUUGAUAUAUGCUAGUCUUUAUCUAAAUACCAUGUAUUGCCAUUUCUUGUAUGGUUUAGUACAUCAUCUACUGGUGGUUUAGUUAUAUGGUUUAGUUAUGAUGGUUGCAUGUAGUGAUAACCCAAGCUUAAUUGACGGAUCCUAAUUUGAGUUGAUCUUUGGGUUUGGCUUUGAUCCAUACUUUGCUGGCUCUACUUCUGUCUUGGGUUAUUCCUUACUGCCAAUUGAACCUGUUCCAUUGGCCCGAUUUACGUAGUGUUGGCUCUCUUCUACUGUUUCUUUGAUCAACUUAACCUGAUUGGGGUUUGACUAAUGUUUCCAAACUCCUAAGUGCUAGCUCCUACAGCAAAGGCAUUUCCUUUAGGGGAAUGGUACAUUUUAACCUUCAUCAAGUUUUUCCUGUUUGUGGUUUCUUGUUUUGCAGGUUGAUGAACUGGAAGAAAGAAGCAGAAGAUGAAGAACUAGAUAGUUUAGUGUAGGUUUAGUUUAGGGCUUUUCCUUCUUUUAUUUCUUUUUCCUCAAUUAUAAUUUCUGAAUGCUUGUAAUUGACAUUUAUAAUAAUAUAAGUCUAUUGUUUCUUA